rnacentral:rRNA from 1 species
AUUGAACGCUGGCGGCAGGCCUAACACAUGCAAGUCGAGCGGAACGGCGGACGGGUGAGUAAUGCCUAGGAAUCUUCCUGGUAGUGUGGGAUAACGUCCGGAAACGGGCACUAAUACCGCAUACUAUCAGAUGAGCCUAGGUCGGAUUAGCUAGUUGGUGGGGUAAAGGCCUACCAAGGCGACGAUCCGUACCUGGUCUGAGAGGAUGAUCGGUAACAUUGGAACUGAGACACGGUCCAGAUUCCACCGGGAGGCAGCAGUGGGGAAUAUUGGACAAGGGGGGAAAGCCGGAUCCAGCCAUGCCGCGUGUGUGAAGAAGGUCUUCGGAUUGGAAAGCAUUUUAAGUUGGGAGGCGUUACCAACAGAAUAAGCAACGGCUAACUUCGUGCCAGCAGCCGCGGUAAUUC